rnacentral:tRNA from 1 species
GGAGGGAUGGCCGAGUGGACGAAGGCGACGGUCUUGAAAACCGUUGUGGCUGCAAGGUCACCGUGGGUUCGAAUCCCACUCCCUCCG